GCAGGCCUAACACAUGCAAGUCGAGCGGUAGCACAGAGAGCUUGCUCUCGGGUGACGAGCGGCGGACGGGUGAGUAAUGUCUGGGAAACUGCCUGAUGGAGGGGGAUAACUACUGGAAACGGUAGCUAAUACCGCAUAAUGUCGCAAGACCAAAGUGGGGGACCUUCGGGCCUCAUGCCAUCAGAUGUGCCCAGAUGGGAUUAGCUAGUAGGUGGGGUAACGGCUCACCUAGGCGACGAUCCCUAGCUGGUCUGAGAGGAUGACCAGCCACACUGGAACUGAGACACGGUCCAGACUCCUACGGGAGGCAGCAGUGGGGAAUAUUGCACAAUGGGCGCAAGCCUGAUGCAGCCAUGCCGCGUGUGUGAAGAAGGCCUUCGGGUUGUAAAGCACUUUCAGCGGGGAGGAAGGCGUUAAGGUUAAUAACCUUGGCGAUUGACGUUACCCGCAGAAGAAGCACCGGCUAACUCCGUGCCAGCAGCCGCGGUAAUACGGAGGGUGCAAGCGUUAAUCGGAAUUACUGGGCGUAAAGCGCACGCAGGCGGUCUGUCAAGUCGGAUGUGAAAUCCCCGGGCUCAACCUGGGAACUGCAUUCGAAACUGGCAGGCUAGAGUCUUGUAGAGGGGGGUAGAAUUCCAGGUGUAGCGGUGAAAUGCGUAGAGAUCUGGAGGAAUACCGGUGGCGAAGGCGGCCCCCUGGACAAAGACUGACGCUCAGGUGCGAAAGCGUGGGGAGCAAACAGGAUUAGAUACCCUGGUAGUCCACGCCGUAAACGAUGUCGAUUUGGAGGUUGUGCCCUUGAGGCGUGGCUUCCGGAGCUAACGCGUUAAAUCGACCGCCUGGGGAGUACGGCCGCAAGGUUAAAACUCAAAUGAAUUGACGGGGGCCCGCACAAGCGGUGGAGCAUGUGGUUUAAUUCGAUGCAACGCGAAGAACCUUACCUGGUCUUGACAUCCACAGAACUUAGCAGAGAUGCUUUGGUGCCUUCGGGAACUGUGAGACAGGUGCUGCAUGGCUGUCGUCAGCUCGUGUUGUGAAAUGUUGGGUUAAGUCCCGCAACGAGCGCAACCCUUAUCCUUUGUUGCCAGCGGUUAGGCCGGGAACUCAAAGGAGACUGCCAGUGAUAAACUGGAGGAAGGUGGGGAUGACGUCAAGUCAUCAUGGCCCUUACGACCAGGGCUACACACGUGCUACAAUGGCAUAUACAAAGAGAAGCGACCUCGCGAGAGCAAGCGGACCUCAUAAAGUAUGUCGUAGUCCGGAUUGGAGUCUGCAACUCGACUCCAUGAAGUCGGAAUCGCUAGUAAUCGUAGAUCAGAAUGCUACGGUGAAUACGUUCCCGGGCCUUGUACAC
rnacentral:rRNA from 1 species